rnacentral:rRNA from 1 species
CAGCUUGGGAUAACGACUUGAAAGGGUCGCUAAUACCGGAUACGGCGAGAGAGGCUUCGGCAUUUCUCGAGAAAGCCUCGCAAGGGGCACUGAAGGACGAGCCUGCGGCCCAUCAGCUAGUUGGUGAGGUAAGAGCUCACCAAGGCGAAGACGGGUAGCUGGUCUGAGAGGAUGAUCAGCCACACUGGAACUGAGACACGGUCCAGACUCCUACGGGAGGCAGCAGUGGGGAAUAUUGCGCAAUGGGCGAAAGCCUGACGCAGCCACGCCGCGUGAGCGAUGAAGGCCUUCGGGUCGUAAAGCUCUGUGGGGAGAGACGAAGAAAAACGGUGAAGAGCGGGCCUUGACGGUAUCUCCUUAGCAAGCUCUAGCGGACUCCGUGCCAGCAGCCGCGGUAAUA